rnacentral:rRNA from 1 species
UACGUAGGUGGCAAGCGUUGUCCGGAUUUACUGGGCGUAAAGAGCGCGCAGGCGGUCGUUCAAGUCGAGUGUGAAAGCCCCCGGCUCAACUGGGGAGGGUCAUUCGAUACUGAUCGACUGGAAGGCAGGAGAGGGAAGCGGAAUUCCCGGUGUAGUGGUGAAAUGCGUAGAUAUCGGGAGGAACACCAGUGGCGAAGGCGGCUUCCUGGCCUGUUCUUGACGCUGAGGCGCGAAAGCUAGGGAGCAAAGCGGGAUUGAGAU